GGCACUUUGCACCUAACUACUCAUGAAACAACACUGUUAUUCUCACACAGCAGGUGUAAGCAGAAGAAACAGAGGCAUAACAACUUAGCAAUGCAAAAUGAGCUCCAGGCAUCAGGUAGGUCAAAAAGAAACUAUCAAAUUAUUUUCACCUUCAGCCCCUGCAAAUUGGGAUCAAGAAAGGUGGAACAUCUCCUGUUGACAAGCUCCCUCGCACAACCAGUGCUGCAAAAAGCUGUCAAUAAGGACAAUUUGCUUCAUGGGUCUGGCUCCAGUUUAAAUUUCAUGAAAGUCAAAGUGGCAGAAGUAGAAAUGUUCCUCCUUUAUUAUGGACCCUGAAAUAUGCACAAUUUAGUGGAGAGCUGUGGAGACCAAGAAAGUAAAAAAUUGUCUUUUUCUCUCAGAAGGAUCCAUAAACACUACAAGUCUGGCACAUUACGAGUCCCUUGGCUGGCUAAACUCAAAUUAACUAAACUUAUAUCACUAAUUUGUAAGUUCUGAAGAGGAAUCCAGGUCACUCCUUGAGAAACAAUAUUUUUGACAUUUGAAAGAAUAUCUGCAUCUUUGAAAGAUGGUAUGCAUUAUUGUAGACACAGAUUGGGAAGACCUGCUUUGGAAGUGAUGAGAAUAGUCAAACCAAACUGUGAUAAGUUCUGUAGGCACUGAUAAGAAGCUAAAGCCAAUGGAGUGGUGCCGUAAAUUUUUAUUUUAUUCGAGGUGGAGGAGGCAUUGCACUAUCUAGUGAUCUUUCUGCUGAAAAUAUCAAGCACAGAGAAAGGGAUGAGUUUGGUUUUUAGUAUCCACCCCAAAUUCAAUCAGCAAGAUUAAAAUCCACUACGAUGUGCAUGCAAAGCAUGUAUCUCCUACAAACAGAAAAUGUAUUCUGAGUGCUCUUUCAUCUGCCACAGCAGACCAGAGUUACACUGCUCACCAUUCAAGAAAGAAUUUAAGUUGAUGGUGGUGGGUUUGGUUUUUCUGCUGUUUGUUUGUUUGUGUUAGUUUUGUUUGUUUUGUUUUGGGGGUUUUUUGUUGUUGUUGUUUUGUUUUGUUUUAAUUAUUUUUGUUCUAUUUUUAUUUUAAAGCUGCUCUGUUGUUGUGAAACCCUAAUGGUCUUCCUAUCACUCAAACAGCCAGAAUAUGUGAAGUUAUCCAUUAUGACAAUGUUAUUAAUCCACUGUAACAAUAAACCAUGACUAUCUCUAGUGCAUUCUGCAUGUUGAAAUUCAUAUAAUUAUAUUAGUUAAUAAUGGGGGAUUUCUAUUUGCUCUCCUUUGUUGUUUUGGGUAUUUUUUCCAAACAGCUUUUCAUGAAACUUUCAAGUGUCUCCUACCCAUGAUUCCUUGUAGGUGCUAGGUUGUCACACCUUCUAUGUGUGAGGAAUCCCUUCUUCCUUCUCCUUUUUUUUUAUUAAUGACUGUAAUUACUAUUUGAAAAUUCUAUUCACCUUCUUUUGAGAAAGCACAUAAAAAUAGAAAAUCUCUUCAAAAUUAAGCAGUCCAUAAUGAUGAAACAGAACAAGACAGUGUUUAUCUAUUGACACUAGCAUGAUACAUUCAGCUAAAUUGAAAUUUGGAUUAUAUAUCUUUCUGCGUGUAUUUAGGAAAAACAUUUACCCAACCACAACCUUUGCUUCAGUUUCUUGAAGGAUAGAUUUGCUUUAUUCUCACCUCUGUGACUACAUAAACUAUCCAGCCUGGCCUGUAACAAAGGAAAA